rnacentral:rRNA from 1 species
UACGGAAGGCAGCAGUGGGGAAUAUUGCACAAUGGGCGAAAGCCUGAUGCAGCUAUGCCGCGUGUAUGAAGAAGGCCUUAGGGUUGUAAAGUACUUUCAUCGGGGAGGAAAAAACAAAACUAAUAAUUUUAUUUCUUGACGUUACCCGAAAAAGAAGCACCGGCUAACUCCGUGCCAGCAGCCGCGGUAAUACGGAGGGUGCUAGCGUUAAUCAGAAUUACUGGGCGUAAAGAGCACGUAGGUGGUUUUUUUAAGUCAGAUGUGAAAUCCCUGGGCUUUAACCUAGGAACUGCAUUUUGAAACUGAAAUACUAGAGUAUCGUAGAGGGAGGUAGAAUUCUAGGUGUAGCGGUGAAAUGCGUAGAUAUCUGGAGGAAUACCUGUGGCGAAAGCGGCCUCCUAAACGAAUACUGACACUGAGGUGCGAAAGCGUGGGGAGCAAACAGGGAUUUAGAUACC